rnacentral:siRNA from 1 species
AUGCCAAAAACUGCAGCCAUUCAA